GAAUACGGACGUAGAUCUCUAAACUAAUCGCGCCAACCUUAAUCCGCCUAAUCCGCCCUAAUCCGCGCGAUGUUUCCAUAUGCGAUUGAUUAAGCCUUAAUAGAGCGUCAUGCGUUCGGCUAUGCGGGUCAUUUGCACCGCGAGCAGUGCGCUGCUGAGUCGGACCGCGGUCUUUUGGAUUCUGCACACUAAUUGGAAAUGGCGGAGGUAGGU
rnacentral:lncRNA from 1 species